rnacentral:lncRNA from 1 species
GCUUCUUGUUGUGCUCCCAGAUAAUGUGCCCCUGAUAAUUUUAAAUGAAGUCUUGAAGCUGGCUUCUUGAAUGAAAUGCUGUGCUAGUUAAAGCUUCACUAACUUUCCGUGUGCUUAGAAGCUGGCCUACUUCUCAAGGUCCCUUGCAUUGCUCAGACAAAUAUUGCCGUGGCAUAUGAAGAGUACAAGAAUAGCUUUCCUGUAUGUAAGUUUGCAGUCUUUUAUGAUCAAUAUAAUUUCAUCAGUCAUCUCUAACAAGUUCUGGUUAACCAAACUCUUACUGGAACAGUAA